rnacentral:lncRNA from 1 species
UUUCUUCUUUCCCUUUCUCUCUCUUAUCGUAUCUUCACUACUCUCUCUCAUUCUUUCUCUCUAAACCCUUUCCUCCAGCCACCCUGAAACCUAGUAGCCACUGUGCUAACUGCCCCCAAACCCACAUCUCUAGUUAAAGUUCAAUCGGGAUCUUCAUAUCUUCAAAUACCAAACCCAGAACCCUUCAAGACCAUGAACCCUAGGAUGAACCCUAACCUUAAUGAAGAACCCUAAUUGGGUUCUUUUGAACCCUAACUUAUCAACCUAGAACCCUAACCCUAAAGUGAAGAACCCUAACCCUAACUUCUAAGAAACCUAACCCUAAAACUAUCCAGAAACCCUCAAUCUGAUCUAGAUCGAAUCCUAAUCAAACCUAAAACACAAAUCAACCCUUAACAGAAAUCAAACACAAAAACCAUAUAUCUAUCAUUCAAACUAAAUUCAGAAUAAAUCAAACAUAGCCAUGCAAAUCGAAUAAGUGAAUGAAGGCAAAGGGGUAACAAAUUCAACCAACCUACGGAGAUGAGUAAUUCUCCGGUAAAAAAAAAGAUAAUCGUUUCGAUUCUUUUUAUUGUCUUUGGUCCAGUUUGUCUUUUCUUCCUCCUCUAACUUCUUCUUUUUCCCUUGUGCGAGGUAUCAAUGGUAUUGUGAUGUGGCUUAGCUCAGAGGAAUUAGGGUCUCAAUAUGGUACCCUAAUGACUGUUUGAUUGGAGCUUUAAUGGAGGUUUCGGGGUUGCAAAAGCAAUUAUACUCUUAGGGUUUUCUUAUCUCUUUUUUUCGUUCUUAAAUCAUAUAAUUUCUCAUGUAUUAAUAGAUCAAAUUAGGUCUUAGUGAUUUAAUCAUAUUGAUUUGUUUUAGAAAAAUUUGUAUUAGAUUGAUUGUAAUUUGAUUUAGUUUUUUUUUAGAAUUUGGAUCCGACUGUACUUGGUCCUAAUUGUAUCGUGUAAUGCAUUUGAGAAUUGAAUUUGGAAAUAUUUGAUGGCAUUUUCAAUUUGA